rnacentral:rRNA from 1 species
GACGGGUUAGUAACGCGUGGGAACGUGCCCUUCACUGCGGAAUAGCCACUGGAAACGGUGAGUAAUACCGCAUACGCCCUUCGGGGGAAAGAUUUAUCGGUGAAGGAUCGGCCCGCGUUAGAUUAGAUAGUUGGUGGGGUAACGGCCUACCAAGUCUACGAUCUAUAGCUGGUUUUAGAGGAUGAUCAGCAACACUGGGACUGAGACACGGCCCAGACUCCUACGGGAGGCAGCAGUGGGGAAUCUUGGACAAUGGGCGCAAGCCUGAUCCAGCCAUGCCGCGUGAGUGAUGAAGGCCUUAGGGUCGUAAAGCUCUUUCGCCAGAGAUGAUAAUGACAGUAUCUGGUAAAGAAACCCCGGCUAACUCCGUGCCAGCAGCCGCGGUAAUACGGAGGGGGUUAGCGUUGUUCGGAAUUACUGGGCGUAAAGCGCACGUAGGCGGAUCAGAAAGUUGGGGGUGAAAUCCCGGGGCUCAACCCCGGAACUGCCUCCAAAACUCCUGGUCUUGAGUUCGAGAGAGGUGAGUGGAAUUCCGAGUGUAGAGGUGAAAUUCGUAGAUAUUCGGAGGAACACCAGUGGCGAAGGCGGCUCACUGGCUC